rnacentral:lncRNA from 1 species
ACCCAAAUUCACCCCAAAAUGGCCCAAAUUUGCCCCAAAAUGGCCCAAAUUCCCCCCAAAAUGACCCAAAUUCACCCCAAAUUGACCCCAAUUUGCCCCAAAAUGGCCCAAAUUUGCCCCAAAAUGGCACAAAUUCACCCCAAAAUGACCCAAAUUAUCCCAAAAUGCCCCAAAUUCACCCCAAAUUGACCCAAAUUUGCCCCCAAAUUGCACAAAUUUGCCCCAAAUUGACCCAAACUUGCCACAAAAUGACCCAAGUUCACCCCAAAUUGACCCAAAUUUGCCCCAAAUUGACCCAAAUUCACCCCAAAAAGGCCCAAAUCCACCCCAAAAUGACACAAAUUCACCCAAAAUGUCCCAAAUUCACCUAAAAUUGAGCCAAACAUCCCCCAAAAUGACCCAAAAUGACACAAAAAGGACCCAGAUUUCCCCCAAAUGACCCAAAUUCACCCCAAAUUGACCCAAAUUCACCCCAAAAUGGCACAAAUUCAUCCCAAAAUGACCCAAAUUCACCCCAAAAUGACUCCAAAUCACCCCAAAUUUCCCCCAAAUUGACCCAAAUUCACCCCAAAUUGACUCAAAUUCACCCCAAAAUGGCCCAAAUUCACCCCAAAUGACCCAAAUUCACCCCAAAAUGACCCAAGUUCACCCCAAAUUGACCCAAAUAUCCCCAAAAAUGACCCAAAUUCACCCCAAAAUGCCCCAAAUUUGCCCCCAAAUUGCACAAAUUUGCCCCAAAUUGACCCAAACUUGCCACAAAAUGCCCCAAAUUCACCCCAAAUUGACCCAAACAUCCCCAGAAAUGACUCAAAUUCACCCCAAAAUGGCCCAAAAUUCGCCCCCAAAUGGCACAAAUUCACCCCAAAACGGCACAAAUUCACCCCAAAGUGACCCAAAUUCGCCCAAAAUUGACCCAAACGUCCCCAAAACAACCCAAAAUUACACAAAAAUGACCCAAAUUCACCCCAAAAUGCCACAAAUUCAACCAAAAUGACCCAAACUCACCCCAAAUGGCCCAAAUUACCCCAAAUCUGUCCUAAAUUAACCCAAUUUCCCCCCAAUUUUUCCCCCAAAUCCCCCAAUUUUCCCCCAAAUCCCCCAAUUUGCCCCAAAUCCCCCACUUUUCCCCCAAAUUUCCCCCCCAAAUCCCCCAUUUUCCCC